UAUUUUUUGUAAGGAGCGUCGAGGUGUAAUUUACAACAUGGUUACGGCCAGUUUCUUUUUCUAGAGUUAUCUGCUAGAAAAAAAAACAGUCCUCCAUCUAAUUUUUGUCCUAAUCUUGCACAAAAAGAGCAUUUCCAAAUUCUGAAGAAGACGAGUCUUACGAAGAUGAUAAUCCUACAGUAGUAGUACUAGGAGAUGGAGAUUUAACCGCUGAACAAGCAUUAAAAGAAAAAGUAGAAAAAGAAAAA